AGUUCCCAGAAGAAAGCACGCAAGCUUCUAGGAAAGACGAAAAUGCUUCAGAGAAAGAACGAUAGCUGGCAGUGACACCAGGUGUCCUGCACGGUGAUUUUUUUUAUCUGCACCCUGCUAGGCUUCAAGAAAAUGAGGGCAGAAUUUUUAAAAGGCUAAGCAGAAAGGCUUAAUAUGGGUAAGGAUUCCUUUGCUGAUGUGCACCCACUAUGGCUGCCUGAUUCCUGGGCAAGGUGCAGAUGUGCAGUGCUGAAGGAACCACACGGAGAACACUUUGCAAACACAUGGAGAGGACCUCUUGGAGCAUUAGAUGCCCUGCGGUAACCACAUGUCAUACUCCUGAUGCAGCUGAUUCCAGAGAUCUCAUUCCUGUUACGCCUCCCUGUUGCAGUUACUUGGACACAACUGUGUUGUCAAAGCAACUGCCUCUAUCAACUUAUCAACUUCCCAGGAAAAUAUAGUGGUCCAUACGAAUUCAUGCUAUGAAGAAACUGAGGCCCAGAGAGGGAAAACGACAUGCUGGAAGCCACACAGCAAAUCAGUGUUGGUGUUAAAACUUGUCAGUUAGUAUCCAGGAAGGAGUUAAAUAAUAGAUGUUUCCUAAAAUGUAUUUCAGGAGGACAUUGGUCUUUUGGGAUGGUCAAAUAUGUGUUGGGAACAUAGAUAUUGUAUUCAGUGUUAUUUGUUUGGAGAGUACACUGAAAUUCUGCAAUAAAGAAUCCUGUUGAGCUUCAAUUUAA